rnacentral:rRNA from 1 species
GACGAACGCUGGCGGCGUGCUUAACACAUGCAAGUCGAACGGAAAGGCCCUGCUUUUGUGGGGUGCUCGAGUGGCGAACGGGUGAGUAACACGUGAGUACCUGCCCUUGACUUUGGGAUAACUUCAGGAAACUGGGGCUAAUACCGGAUAGGAGCUCCUGCUGCAUGGUGGGGGUUGGAAAGUUUCGGCGGUUGGGGAUGGACUCGCGGCUUAUCAGCUUGUUGGUGGGGUAGUGGCUUACCAAGACUUUGACGGGUAGCCGGCCUGAGAGGGUGACCGGCCACAUUGGGACUGAGAUACGGCCCAGACUCCUACGGGAGGCAGCAGUGGGGAAUAUUGCACAAUGGGCGGAAGCCUGAUGCAGCAACGCCGCGUGCGGGAUGACGGCCUUCGGGUUGUAAACCGCUUUCGCCUGUGACGAAGCGUGAGUGACGGUAAUGGGUAAAGAAGCACCGGCUAACUACGUG